rnacentral:rRNA from 1 species
CAGUCGCCGGCGGUAAUACGUAGGUCCCGAGCGUUGUCCGGAUUUGUUGGGCGUAAAGCGAGCGCAGGCGGUUAGAUAAGUCUGAAGUUAAAGGCUGUGGCUUAACCAUAGUACGCUUUGGAAACUGUUUAACUUGAGUGCAAGAGGGGAGAGUGGAAUUCCAUGUGUAGCGGUGAAAUGCGUAGAUAUAUGGAGGAACACCGGUGGCGAAAGCGGCUCUCUGGCUUGUAACUGACGCUGAGGCUCGAAAGCGUGGGGAGCAAACAGGAUUAGAUACCCCCGUAGUCCCUGUCUCUUAUAC